GCUCGCUCUGACGGUGCAUAAACUAAAAUUGGCACGAUACAGAGAAGAUUAGCAUGACCCCUGUGCAAGGAUGACAUGCAAAUUUGUUAAGUGUUCCAAUAUUUU
rnacentral:snRNA from 1 species